ACACUUACAACAUUCUGAGGUUUCCUUAGAAAAGAUUCAGGGAAGCUGGUGAACUCUUUUAGAGUGAUUCCAGCACUGUGCCGCAACUGUGAACGGCUGACCUAGCCGCAAGUCAGGAUACCUGCCUUAGAAAAAAUACGGCC
rnacentral:ncRNA from 1 species